GUUUUUAUAGUUUAAUAAAAAUAUUGAUUUUGUAAAUCAAAGUUAUUUAAAAAUUAAAAACU
rnacentral:tRNA from 1 species